GACGAACGCUGGCGGCGUGCUUAACACAUGCAAGUCGAACGGAGUUGCUAACGGGUGUUUAACACGUGUGUGAUCUUCCUUUCACUUCCGGUUACGCUUGUGAAACUGGGUCUAAUUCCGGUUUGUGCAUGAUGGGCUCGCUGCGUGUCGGGUUGUUGGUGGGGUAAUGGCCUACCAAGGCGUCGACGGGUAGCCGGCCUGAGAGGGUGUACGGCCACAUUGGGACUGAGAUACGGCCCAGACUCCUACGGGAGGCAGCAGUGUGGAAUAUUGCACAAUGGGCGGAAGCCUGAUGCAGCGACGCCGCGUGGGGGAUGAAGGCCUUCGGGUUGUAAACUCCUUUCGACAGGGACGCGGUAGCUGAAUAAGAAGGAAGGGCUAACUACGUGCCAGCAGCCGCGGUAAUUG
rnacentral:rRNA from 1 species